rnacentral:rRNA from 1 species
AGAGUUUGAUCCUGGCUCAGGAUGAACGCUGGCGGCGUGCUUAACACAUGCAAGUCGAACGAUCCUUCGGGAUAGUGGCGGACGGGUGAGUAAUGCGUGGGAAUCUGCCCUCAGGAGGGGGAUAACGGCUGGAAACGGCCGCUAAUACCCCAUAUGCCGAGAGGUGAAACGAAUUUCGCCUGAGGAUGAGCCCGCGUCUGAUUAGCUAGUUGGUGGGGUAACGGCCCACCAAGGCGACGAUCAGUAGCUGGUCUGAGAGGAUGAUCAGCCACACUGGGACUGAGACACGGCCCAGACUCCUACGGGAGGCAGCGGGGAAUUUUCCGCAAUGGGCGAAAGCCUGACGGAGCAACGCCGCGUGAGGGAUGAAGGCCUCUGGGCUGUAAACCUCUUUUCUCAAGGAAGAAGACCUGACGGUACUUGAGGAAUAAGCCACGGCUAAUUCCGUGCCAGCAGCCGCGGUAAUACGGGAGUGGCAAGCGUUAUCCGGAACUAUUGGGCGUAAAGCGUCCGCAGGCGGCCUUGUAAGUCUGUUGUUAAAGCGUGGAGCUUAACUCCAUUUAAGCAAUGGAAACUACAAGGCUGGAGUGUGGUAGGGGCAGAGGGAAUUCCCGGUGUAGCGGUGAAAUGCGUAGAUAUCGGGAAGAACACCAGUGGCGAAGGCGCUCUGCUGGGCCAUAACUGACGCUCAUGGACGAAAGCCAGGGGAGCGAAAGGGAUUAGAUACCCCUGUAGUCCUGGCCGUAAACGAUGAACACUAGGUGUCGGGGGAAUCGACCCCCUCGGUGUCGUAGCCAACGCGUUAAGUGUUCCGCCUGGGGAGUACGCACGCAAGUGUGAAACUCAAAGGAAUUGACGGGGGCCCGCACAAGCGGUGGAGUAUGUGGUUUAAUUCGAUGCAACGCGAAGAACCUUACCAGGGUUUGACAUCCUGCGAACCCCUGAGAAAUCGGGGGGUGCCUUCGGGAGCGCAGAGACAGGUGGUGCAUGGCUGUCGUCAGCUCGUGUCGUGAGAUGUUGGGUUAAGUCCCGCAACGAGCGCAACCCACGUCUUUAGUUGCCAGCAUUCAGUUGGGCACUCUAGAGAGACCGCCGGUGAUAAACCGGAGGAAGGUGUGGAUGACGUCAAGUCAUCAUGCCCCUUACAUCCUGGGCUACACACGUACUACAAUGCUACGGACAAAGGGCAGCAAGCUCGCGAGAGUUAGCAAAUCCCAUAAACCGUGGCUCAGUUCAGAUCGUAGGCUGCAACUCGCCUACGUGAAGGAGGAAUCGCUAGUAAUCGCAGGUCAGCAUACUGCGGUGAAUACGUUCCCGGGCCUUGUACACACCGCCCGUCACACCAUGGAAGUUGGCCAUGCCCGAAGUCGUUACUCCAACCCUUGUGGAGGAGGACGCCGAAGGUGGGGCUGAUGACUGGGGUGAAGUCGAAACAAGGUA